CCCGAGCUUUUGGUCUAUACCGCGACGACGCGCGCAACGCGGUCUGUCCGCCUCCGGUCGCCCGACUACGAACGGUGUGUGCGAGCGCGUGUGUCGCAGAGCCACCGUACACGCCGCACACACACCGCACCGUUAUGGUAUAAUAUUACGUGUGUGUAUAUUAUAAGCCGUCGUCGUUACAUACACAUAUAUACAUUAUUAUUAUUAUCGUAACGUAUACAACAAUAUAAUAACUCGGCGAGUGUCGCGCGGCGGCGGGAGCUGUGUCGUACGGUACACAGUCAGUCGUAGUGUGCGUGUGCGCUUGUGCGCGAGUGUCUGAGUGUGCGAGUGCGCGAAAAAUCCGCUGCCGGCGAAUUGCUGAGCGUGUGUGGCGUAUAAUAUUAUAACCGUCGCCGCCUUCGUCGCCGCCGCCGCCGUCGUCAUCUUUGCUGUCGUCGCUCGCGACAGUAGACACGCCGCGAGUACUCGUACGCGUGUGCGCGCGAAUGUGUAAUUUUUGGUUUCGGUUCGCGGUCGUUUUUUUUUAUUUUGUUGUUUUCAUUAUCCCCCUGUUAGUAAUCUUGCCUCCGUUCUACAAAUCUCCUCCUCCUCGCCCUGUCGAGUUUUCCGAAUCAUUUUUCGUCGUCGACAGCCGUAAGUCGUCGCCGUCGUCGUCGGCGACUUUAUACGCCGCGUUUUAAGGCCGCCGCCGAACAAAAGAGCUGUUCUGCACAGGACGUGGUCCCACACAUCGGAC